rnacentral:rRNA from 1 species
CUUACCAUGCAGUCGAGCGAAGCGCUUUACUUAGAAUUCUUCGGAAGGAAGAGUGGAGUGACUGAGCGGCGGACGGGUGAGUAACGCGUGGAUAACCUGCCUCAUACAGGGGGAUAACAGUCAGAAAUGGCUGCUAAUACCGCAUAAGCCCACAGUGCCGCAUGGCACAGUGGGAAAAACUUAAGGUGGUAUGAGAUGGAUCCGCGUCUGAUUAGCUGGUUGGUAAGGUAACGGCUUACCAAGGCGACGAUCAGUAGCCGGCCUGAGAGGGCGACCGGCCACAUUGGGACUGAGACACGGCCCAAACUCCUACGGGAGGCAGCAGUGGGGAAUAUUGCACAAUGGGGGAAACCCUGAUGCAGCGACGCCGCGUGAAGGAUGAAGUAUUUCGGUAUGUAAACUUCUAUCAGCAGGGAAGAAAAUGACGGUACCUGACUAAGAAGCCCCGGCUAACUACGUGCCAGCAGCCGCGGUAAUACGUAGGGGGCAAGCGUUAUCCGGAUUUACUGGGUGUAAAGGGAGCGUAGACGGCUGUGCAAGUCUGAUGUGAAAACCCGGGGCUCAACCCCGGGACUGCAUUGGAAACUGUGCGGCUGGAGUGUCGGAGAGGUAAGUGGAAUUCCUAGUGUAGCGGUGAAAUGCGUAGAUAUUAGGAGGAACACCAGUGGCGAAGGCGGCUUACUGGACGAUGACUGACGUUGAGGCUCGAAAGCGUGGGGAGCAAACAGGAUUAGAUAC